UAUCUCCAAGGAGCAAGAAGACGAGGUUGAGUGGGUGAGGGCGCAGCUAUCCGAGACUGAGCGUGAGUGCGGGAACUUGGUCACGCAGAAGAACUUGUUUGAGUCCGGACUGCUGCAAGGAAUGGCUGGCAUCAUAAGGGGAAGCACGAAGGUGGCCGUGGACAUUGAUGAGGCCGAGAUGCAGAGGCGGCUGAGGGAGUCGCGGGCCAAGAAGGCUGAAAAGAGUGCUGGAAAACGACCCAGGGAUGAU